AGCUUGCUAUCUUUGCCGGCGAGCGGCGGACGGGUGAGUAAUGCCUAGGGAUCUGCCCAGUCGAGGGGGAUAACAGUUGGAAACGACUGCUAAUACCGCAUACGCCCUACGGGGGAAAGGAGGGGACCUUCGGGCCUUCCGCGAUUGGAUGAACCUAGGUGGGAUUAGCUAGUUGGUGAGGUAAUGGCUCACCAAGGCGACGAUCCCUAGCUGUUCUGAGAGGAUGAUCAGCCACACUGGGACUGAGACACGGCCCAGACUCCUACGGGAGGCAGCAGUGGGGAAUAUUGCACAAUGGGGGAAACCCUGAUGCAGCCAUGCCGCGUGUGUGAAGAAGCCUUCGGGUUGUAAAGCACUUUCAGUAGGGAGGAAAGGUAACAGUUUAAUACGCUGUUGCUGUGACGUUACCUACAGAAGAAGGACCGGCUAACUCCGUGCCAGCAGCCGCCGGUAAUACGGAGGGUCCGAGCGUUAAUCGGAAUUACUGGGCGUAAAGCGUGCGCAGGCGGUUUGUUAAGCGAGAUGUGAAAGCCCCGGGCUCAACCUGGGAAUUGCAUUUCGAACUGGCGAACUAAGAAGUCUUGUAGAGGGGGUAGAUUCCAGGUGUAGCCGGUGAAAUGCGUAGAGAUCUGGAGGAAUACCGGUGGCCGAAAGGCGGCCCCCUGGACAAAGACUGACGCCUCAGGCACGAAAGCCGUGGGGAGCCAAACAGGAUUAGAUACCCUGGUAGUCCAACGCCGUAAACGAAUGUCUACUCCGGAGUUUGGUGUCUUGAACACUGGGCUCUCAAGCUAACGCAAUUAAGUAGACCGCCUGGGGAGUACGGCCGCAAGGUUAAAACUCAAAUGAAUUGACGGGGGCCCGCACAAGCGGUGGAGCAUGUGGUUUAAUUCGAUGCAACGCGAAGAACCUUACCUACUCUUGACAUCCACGGAAUUCGCUAGAGAUAGCUUAGUGCCUUCGGGAACUGUGAGACAGGUGCUGCAUGGCUGUCGUCAGCUCGUGUUGUGAAAUGUUGGGUUAAGUCCCGCAACGAGCGCAACCCCUAUCCUUAUUUGCCAGCACGUAAUGGUGGGAACUCUAGGGAGACUGCCGGUGAUAAACCGGAGGAAGGUGGGGACGACGUCAAGUCAUCAUGGCCCUUACGAGUAGGGCUACACACGUGUAACGGAUCGGNGAGUACAGAGGGUUGCAAAGCCGCGAGGUGGAGCUAAUCUCACAAAGCUCGUCGUAGUCCCGGAUUGGAGUCUGCAACUCGACUCCAUGAAGUCGGAAUCGCUAGUAAUCGUGGAUCAGAUGCCAC
rnacentral:rRNA from 1 species